UACGUAGGGGGCAAGCGUUGUCCGGAAUCAUUGGGCGUAAAGCGCGUGUAGGCGGUUCGGUAAGUCUGCUGUGAAAGUCCAGGGCUCAACCCUGGGAUGCCGGUGGAUACUGUCGGACUAGAGUACGGAAGAGGAGAGUGGAAUUCCUGGUGUAGCGGUGAAAUGCGCAGAUAUCAGGAAGAACACCCGUGGCUAAGGCGGCUCUCUGGGACGGUACUGACGCUGAGACGCGAAAGCGUGGGGAGCGAACAGG
rnacentral:rRNA from 1 species